UACGUAGGGUGCAAGCGUUGUCCGGAAUUAUUGGGCGUAAAGAGCUCGUAGGCGGCUUGUCACGUCUGCUGUGAAAACUCGGGGCUCAACCCCGAGCCUGCAGUGGAUACGGGCUAGCUAGAGUGCGGUAGGGGAGACUGGAAUUCCUGGUGUAGCGGUGAAAUGCGCAGAUAUCAGGAGGAACACCGGUGGCGAAGGCGGGUCUCUGGACCGAUACUGACGCUGAGGAGCGAAAGCGUGGGGAGCGAACAGG
rnacentral:rRNA from 3 species